GAUGAACGCUGGCGGCGUGCUUAACACAUGCAAGUCGAACGGGAUCCAAGGAGCGUUUUUCGUUUUUUGGUGAGAGUGGCGAACGGGUGAGUAACACGUGAGUAACCUGUCCUUUUCUUUGGGAUAAGCUCCUGAAAGGGUGUUUAAUACCUUAUGUUCUGUCUGCCUCGCAUGGGGUGGGUGGGAAAGAUUUUUUCGGUGAAGGGUGGGCUCGCGGUCUAUCAGCUUGUUGGUGGGGUGAUGGCUUACCAAGGCUUUGACGGGUAGCCGGCCUGAGAGGGUGGUCGGUCACAUUGGGACUGAGAUACGGCCCAGACUCCUGCGGGAGGCAGCAGUGGGGGAUAGUGCACAAUGGGCGCAAGCCUGAUGCAGCGACGCCGCGUGGGGGAUGAAGGCCUUCGGGUUGUAAACUUCUUUUGCUCUGUACAAGGCGCAUCUGUGGGGUGUGUUGAGUGUAGGGGUUGAUUAGCGCCGGCUAACUACGUG
rnacentral:rRNA from 1 species